ACAACAAAGCAGGGGAGCUUGCGCGGCAGGCUGAGAGGAAGUUAUUUACUUCGACCCUUACACCUGAUGCGGGUAAUGCCGCCGUAGGAAGAUAGCAUAAAUGUCUU
rfam:Cloacibacillus evryensis DSM 19522 genomic scaffold CloevDRAFT_Scaffold1.1, whole genome shotgun sequence.